CAUGAUGGAACUAGCUAAGGUAGUUGUUGUUUUGCUACCUAAUGGGCACAAUCUUUUAAUCUUUUUCGUUUCCAGGUUCUAAUAGAUGAGUGAUGACUAAUGGUUGAUGCAAAGGAGGAGGCGUACUGAUGGAAGCUGGCAGCAAAAUCAGGUGAGACUGGAUAGCCCGUCCCAAGUGCGCAUGUGAGCCCCCCCCUCUCUCUCUCUCACACACAUUUUUCCUUUGAGGUUACAAACGCGAGCACCAGCUGUUGUCGCCUUGUUGGGUCAAGCCGCCAUUGCACUAGACACACAAAUACACAUUGCUCUCAGAUUCUUUUGCUGGGGUUUGCAAGUAGAGAGAUCGCAUUUACGAAUUAUAUUUUGCCAUCACACAGAAUGACACAAGAUGAGGCAAUAGGUGUGUGGUGCAGAAGAUGCUCUCCAACCAUUUGAAUCUGUAGUUCUCCACAACUCAUUUACAACAAAAGCCUUGAGUAGUAGCACUGAUGUCACUAUAAGAUAUAAUUUUGUAAAAAUCCAAAUAAGCAUUGUACAUACAAUUCAGUUCCAUACAUUAAGCAUAACUCAAUCUAUAGGCCGAAUGAAUUGAAACUGAAAAUAUAAGUGAUGCACCAAAUUUUUAUCUAGGAAAAUUGGGGCAUUUCUUUUUAGCAUUACUCCUUAUACAUUAAAUAUUAUGUGCCAAAACAGGAUGGAUAGAACCAUACUUUGUGCUGGCUUGAAUUUAAUACUUAUAUAUCAAUUCCUUACUCUAGCCUUUUCAUCGGGAUUAAUAAGUAGUAGUGAUGCAUCACUUCUCUAAUAGCCUACAGCUGGCAAAACAUAGGUUAUGAAACAUCAUGUGUCAACUGUCAAUUUUAUAAAUGUCUGUAUAUUAUGUCAUAAUCUUCCGACAUGAUUUCAAUGUUUACAGGUGUACUACAAUGCAGUAAACUGAUCGUGUACAUUUCUCAAUUUUCCAUAGGACCUCUCCGUCCUCGAGCCCUUCUUCUCCUCUCUCCGCGCCGUCUCGCCUCCCCUGCUCUCGCACCGCCACCUUCCCUGCCCAGCACUCGAGGCGCCAUGAUUUUGGAUCGGGCGAAUAUCUUCACCAGGAGAGUAGGAGCACUUGCUGUUAAUAUGAACGAUCUCUCACUAAGUUUUUGUUAUGGCGUUGUGUGCCGAUUCAUGAUUUAAACACGCAAAAUGUCUGGUUUGCAUAUUUUUGCCUAGCCCUAUUACUAGCAGUGUAUUUUUUGCCGUAAGAAAGACAACAAUGCUUUAUUUCUUUGACUUUUUGACCGUGUCUAAUUUCUGGUAAAAGAGAGGAAUUUCAGAGAGAUAGACAACCUGGAGAGCUUUGAAUGGUUGUUCGAGUGUGCCGCCAGUCUCCUCGCCGCCGCUGUUGCGUAGCUGGCACCGGUGUGUGGCGACUGCCGAGAUAAGCGCAGUUUACUCCAGGUUUGGUGAUGGUGUUGAACAACACCUUAACUGGGCCAAGGAAUUUAGUAGCAUUGU
rnacentral:lncRNA from 1 species